rnacentral:rRNA from 1 species
GCGAAUGGCUCAUUACAUCAGUUAUGGUUCCUUAGAUCGUACCCACAUUACUUGGAUAACUGUGGUAAUUCUAGAGCUAAUACAUGCAAAUAGAGUUCCGACCAGAGAUGGAAGGAAUGCUUUUAUUAGAUCAAAACCAAUCGGUGGCGGGCUUGCCUUGCUCACCGUUUGACUUGGUGACUCUGAAUAACUUUGUGCUGAUCGCACGGUCUCGUACCGGCGACGCAUCUUUCAAAUGUCUGCCUUAUCAACUGUCGAUGGUAGUUUCUGCGACUACCAUGGUUGUUACGGGUAACGGGGAAUCAGGGUUCGAUUCCGGAGAGGGAGCCUGAGAAACGGCUACCACAUCCAAGGAAGGCAGCAGGCGCGCAAAUUACCCACUCCCGGCACGGGGAGGUAGUGACGAAAAAUAACGAUACGGGACUCAUCCGAGGCCCCGUAAUCGGAAUGAGUACACUUUAAAUCCUUUCACGAUUAACAAUUGGAGGGCAAGCCUGGUGCCAGCAGCCGCGGUAACUCCAGCUCCAAUAGCGUAUAUUAAAGUUGUUGCGGUUAAAAAGCUCGUAGUUGAAUCUGUGUCCCACACUGUCGGUUCACCGCUCGCGGUGUCCAACUGGCAUGUCUGUGGGACGUCCUGCCGGUGGGCGCAGCCCCUCAAAAGGCGGCCCAACUCAAAAUCCUACCACGGUGCUCUUCACCGAGUGUCGAGG